GAUAAUGCUGGUGGUAUGCCUAACACAUGCAGUUGCAACGCAUUACUGGCUUCGGUCAGUGAUAGUAGCGAACGGGCGAGUAAUACAUAUUUAACAUGCCCCAGACAGGAGUAUAGCGGUUUGAAAAAACCAUUAAUCCUCCAUAGGUGUUUUAAAAAUAAUUUUUAAACAUUAAAGGCGCCUUAAAGCGUCGGUCUGGGAUUGGAAUAUGUCCUAUUAGGUAGUUGGUGGGGUAAAAGCCUACCAAGCCGAUGAUGGGUAGCUGGACUGAGAGGUCGAACAGCCGCAAUGGGAUUGAGAUACGGCCCAUAUUCCUACGGGAAGCAGCAGUGAGGAAUCUUCCACAAUGGACGAAAGUCUGAUGGAGCAAUACCGUGUGAAUGAUGACAGUCUUAUUGAUUGUAAAAUUCUUUUAUUUGGGACAAAAACACCCCCUGAGGAAAUGCUGGGGGCUUUGAUGGUACUGAAUGAAUAAGCGACAGCUAACUAUGUGCCAGCAGCUGCGGUAAUACAUAGGUCGCAAGCAUUAUCCGGAUUUAUUGGGCGUAAAGCAAGCGCAGGUGGAGUAAAAAGUCUAUUGUUAAAAGCAGUUGCUCAACAAUUGUUUGCAGUAGAAACUCUUACUCUAGAAUGUAUUUGGAAGUUUUGGAAUUCAAUACGGAGCGGUGGAAUGUGUAGAUGUAUUGAGGAACACCAGAGGCGAAAGCGAAAACUUAAGAUACUAUUGACACUAAGGCUUGAAAGCGUGGGGAGCAAAUGGGAUUAGAUACCCCAGUAGUCCACGCCGUAAACGAUGGGUAUUAGACGUCAGCCCAAAGGGUUGGUGUUGUAGCUAACGCGUUAAAUACCCCGCCUGGGUAGUACAUGUGCAAACAUGAAACUCAAAGAAAUUGACGGGGACCUGAACAAGUGGUGGAGCAUGUUGCUUAAUUCGAUAAUACACGAUAAACCUUACCAAGGUUUGACAUCCUCCGCGAAGCAACUGAAACGUUGUGGAGUUUAUCGGAGUGACAGGUGGUGCAUGGUUGUCGUCAGCUCGUGUCUGAGAUGUUGGUAU
rnacentral:rRNA from 1 species